rnacentral:rRNA from 1 species
UGGCUGCUAAUAACCGCAUAAGCGCACAGAGCUGCAUGGCUCAGUGUGAAAAACUCCGGUGGUAUAAGAUGGACCCGCGUUGGAUUAGCUGGUUGGUGGGGUAACGGCCCACCAAGGCGACGAUCCAUAGCCGGCCUGAGAGGGUGAACGGCCACAUUGGGACUGAGACACGGCCCAGACUCCUACGGGAGGCAGCAUG